ACUAAAACCGUUGGGGAAAUCAUUAUAACUUAGCUACAGACGAUUUUUUAUUUUACCCCUAGGUUUUUUUCGGUUUUUUCAGCUUUGCCAUUUCGUCUUGCUGUCAAGUGCAGCAGCGUUCCCGAACACGUGGGAUCUCGUUCCAUUGACACUUUCGGCCUACUCCCCCCUCACGCUUUUGCUCAUUGCUUCAUGCCACUUUAUCUCCUUAGUUGCUCGCUAUCAUCGCAAACAACCUCAAACCAACAAAUCCAUUUUCGCAAUUUCUCUCAGAAUCGCUGCUUCACUCUCGCUCAACGCUUCAUUGUCAACAAAUCUCAACCGCAGCCGCACUGCAAACCCAUCUGGACGGAAAACCCAUGAAGAAAUAUUGGUCGUCAGCCAACAAUCGGAUUGCAACAUCGUCUUGACUCACCCCUAGCAUCAGCAGACUUCAUCUUCAAACCCUCUCCGACCCUUGUACCCAAAAGCUCUCUCGCCGAUUUGUCAUCAGAUUUUGGGACAGGUGUUGCAUGGGAGACUAGAGAAGUCGUUGGUGAUGGAUAGGAUGAAGGUUGCUCCACCUAAGGCCAUGGAAAUAAGGGUAAAUGUCAAAUAUACCUCAGUUUAUCACACUGAACUCUACUUCGGCCAAGGUCAGCAAUAAUAGCUACUACAUACAUAUAAUAUACAUAAUACACACACACACACACACACACACACACAUAUGAUUUUAUAUGAUUAACCUUUGAGAAUUGCAGAUUUGUAAACUAUGAGUAGAGUUUUCCAGGCACAUUUACUUUGAGUGAAUACAUUGUUGUUCAUUCUGGUUGUCUUUUCAAUAUCAAGCCCCUUGCUCAGUUAGACAAAGUUUGCAUCCUCAGUUGCGCCAUACCGACAAGUUUGGUGUCCUACUCAAUGCUUUAGAGCGUUGAAUAUGCAUCCUAAACUGAUACUACUUAUUGAAUCGUUUGCACUAUACUGAAUAUUUUGUUUUUUAUAUCAGGUUUGGGUGCCCCUCUCAAUGUAGCAAAACAAAAAAUUAUCUUCAUUUGCUGUUUAUUGGUCCUCGCAGUAAGUUUGGACAAACUUUGUUGAUCCCAAAUUCUUUGUUCUAAUAAAUUGUAUUUAUUUAUUUAUUUUCUUUUCCAAAUACUGAUACAUACAUGAUUUAGGCUACUAAAGGGCACCAGUAAGUAUUGGGGUGGAGUUAGUGGACUUGAAGCCCAAGAGGUUUGACAAAUCUAAGGAAAACACCGAGACAUCAACCAGUGCAGAAGCUCCUGAUAAGACUAAUUGCAGAUAGCACUACAAAUUUAAGCUUGAUGUUGCAAGAGAAAAAUUCUGGACAAAGCAAAAAAGAAAAUGGUGACCAAGAAAAAGAUGGUCAUUCCCAAACAAGCAAAGACCAAAAGAUUGACCAGGAAAAAUCAUAAACACUAAGCAGAUGUGCGGUGCCAAGCUUUUGGUACGGGCAUAUGUAUAUUUUCGUAUUUGAACGAUUUUGAUACUAUGAACUUCUGUACAUGUAUAUAGCCUUCAUAGCAUCUCUAUCUUUAUAGCAGUGAGCAAUUGGACACUGCCAAUCUCUUUGAUAACUAUGAACA